UCAUUAUCUUCCCGCACAAAAGAGCUUUACAACCCUAGGGCCUUCAUCACUCACGCGGCAUGGCUGGAUCAGGCUUGCGCCCAUUGUCCAAUAUUCCCCACUGCUGCCUCCCGUAGGACGGGAGGGAGCAGUGGGGAAUAUUGGACAAUGGGCGCAAGCCUGAUCCAGCCAUGCCGCGUGAA
rnacentral:rRNA from 1 species